UAGCGGUAGUUUCGGACUUGAGAGUCCUU
rnacentral:sRNA from 1 species